UAAUAAGUGUUUUAUGGCACUUUUUAAAUCCAUAUCCACCUUGUGUGCAAUGUCAGUCGAUUCUUUUCGUCAUAGAAAAGGAUUGACCAAACAUCAACCUUAUUCUAAUUGAACUCUUUGUCUGAAAAAUAUUAUGAAUAAACUAAUUCAAAAUA
rnacentral:misc_RNA from 1 species